AGCAGUUUCCUUAAUUCUGCUUGCAGAGUUUUUCCAGCGGCUGUUGACACUCUGUAGUCUGCCUUUCCUCAUUCGGACUUGGAGCUACACAAGGGCUGACUCUGAAGCUCAUUCCAGUUCGUUUUGUUUUGGUUUUCUUAAAUCACAGUAUUUCACAACUAAAUUUGGUUUGGAAGUGCAAAAAAAGGUGAGGCUGAAUUAUUAAAACAAGUCCAAACAUAUUGUUUGACUAGAAACAGUGCUUCACUCUGUAUAUAAAGUUCUAAGGUUUAGUUUACGUUGUUUAUCCUAUUUUCCAAAAAUAUUAUUUGACCUCUGUAACAAAAUUGAAAAAUCUUAUUUCUAAACACAAAACUACCAACCAUAGCACUUCAUUCAAAACAAUGAUUUUAAAAUUGAGGUUUUUUCUUUAAUUUUUCUCCCCCCACUUAUCCUGUUUGGAAAAUAUUCUUUGGAAUUUAGUUAAAUUCAUGUAACAUUUUGGUCUGCUCAAACCUGCAUAUUUUGGAAGGUUUUAUUUGCCAGAAAUACUUCACUCCAUUCAAAUUGCAUGCAUCUGGAUAAUCUUUUUCUUUGGCCCAGUCUGAACCCAGGAAGUGAAUUGCUUUACCUCUUUUGGUACUAGUGAUGAAAAAAGAGAUAGCAAUAAUGCUUACCUCUGUGAUGGGAGGGCAAUAGCCAAUUUCUACAGCCAGUGUACCACGUUUUUCUGAAGCUGUCAUCUGGAUGCAAGUGAACUCUAGAUCCAUCUGUGCUGUUUCUUUCAAGCUGUUCAGUAGAUUCUUCACAGCCCUGUGCUUUCUCUCUUCUUGUGGUCCCAUCACUGUAACUUAAUAAAUCCUCUCUCCCUGCACAAAAACAGAUGAUGAGUAACUUUUAGAUGCUGCUUCCAACUUACACAUUUUCUCCUAGUUUUGAAUUUUUUUUUUUUUUCUGAAUUUGACAGGUUUUCAGCUCCAGUAGGAGGAGAUUGGUCAGCAUACAGAAUUGGAGCAUCACAGCAACCUUCUCAGAUUUACACAGUUGUAGAGACCAUUAAUGCAACGCCCCAUUUGACUGCCUGUGAGUUCAGGGUCCCCUUCACUCCACAAAAGUGGAAUCAUAUUGACUCACAAAAACAUAAAUAAAAAUGAAAAAGAUCAUUCCAGCAAAGCGUGCUCUUGAAGAAGUCAACAAAGUGAAACACCGGUCUCACCUUCAUGCUAAACCGUGAAAGAUUUCCAGGAUCUCCUCUGAAGUCUUGGUUCUAGCUGUGACCCUGCUCAUGACUGCUUUGUAGAAAAAUGCCUCUAGCAGAAGAUGAUUUCACUGUAAUCCCUAAAUCAAAACAAACUGGGAAAUACACUGCUGUUUGUGUCAAUGUCUAACGCUACACAGCAUGGUGUCUUCAGUUUUAAUGAAGAUCAGCUGUGACAAAGCUACAUGGAGUAAUGGAAGAGAAAUCGCUUUUUGAAAACAAAAAGCUUUUUAAAAAGUCACAAAGGGACUGGAGGAGCCAUGAGUGCAUUUUCUACCUUAACAUUUCAGCAUUCCUCUGUAGAACCUUCUGCUGUCAGCAGGGAAUGAAAAAUUGCAGUUGACAUCUACACCUGGCAUUUGUCUCCAUUAAUGGUUAAUGCAGGGACUGUGUUCUCUUGGCUUAGUCUCCACCUGUCAGCUACUCUUUAGGAGAAAAGAGAGCAGGGAGAAACCAAAUAGAUUUAGGCUUCCUUAUUUUGAACCAGGUUUCCAGUGAAAUCUAUAGGCAAGGGCCAAAUCUGCAUCCUUAAGGAAACUAUUACAUUGUGGCCCUGCUUGUCUCAUCUCCUUCAGAUCUGCUGUUCCAUCCAUUCAUCUGUUAUGGAAAUUUUCUGCCUGUCUUCAUUUCAGGAGCUAGAAAUCAUUUUUUUAAAUUUGGCCCAUCCUUCAAAGAUUAUGGAAAGCCUGUGACAUAGGUGUAUUUUGAAAUAGCGAACGCACUUCUAUGUCUCUGAGACAGAAAGUAAAAUGCUGCUGAAAGCUGGAGCCUGAAGAGUGCUUCCAUUUGCUACAGGAACAACAGGUCCUUGGCAGAGACUUAAUGAAGCAGUAAAGAUGGAAGGUGGUUCCUCUGCGUGUUGUUUCACCCUGAGAGGAACAUCCCACAGGCUGACGGCUGUGGGCCUGGUGUGGAUGUAAUUGGUCUCAGAUUCCCUGUCUCCUCCUAACCCAGAGAUGCUCUAUUACAUCCUCAGGGAUCACCCAUGGCACGAUCAUGUUCAAGACCUUUGUCCUGAAAGCUGGUGUCUUUUUUUCUUGCGUCAAGCAGGAACGACUGCAACCUAAGAAGGCAAAGCAAAAGUAUCAUGCCGGCUAGCUUUUAAACUCAUUGAUGUUAGAGAUUAUCCAUAUAAUUUUUUUGGCAUGUUAGGUGCACAGACUCUAUGUCUAUUUAUUAUAGCUCCCAGGAGUACUCCGCAGCUUCUAGAUUUGGAUGCACACUACGGCAGUAACCCAGCUCUGUAGUUUUUUGACGAUCAUCCCCACCAUACAAUGGAAACCUGGGCCCAGUUCUUCCAAGGGAGCUGGGGCACGCUCUGGUCCUCUUCCAUGGCUGAGACUUAUGAUUGUCCAAUGAAAGGUGAUAGUUUGCUUUUCCACUGUGGCAAGUUAAAAUAUCUUUGAAAGACAGCACAGAAUGCAAUAAAGGAAAUAACAAGACUAAAGUCUGGGCCAACGCUGUUGCUGAGCAGAAAGGCAAGAGAGUUGUUAUAGCAACAGAUGAAGGAGGUUUUUUUAACAAGUGCAAGCACCUGAACCUUAGAAAGCUAAUGUAGCUGUAAUUGAGAAAGUCUAAAUGGUACCUUUCAGGCUUACGUGCGUUUGCUGUGCUUGCACGUCAAGCUGACCAAACCUGAGUGCCUGUAUUAUUGUCGUCACAGGCCCAAGCUUUUAAGACCUGUUGAGGCUCCAAGCGUAUAUCAGUCCAGCCCGCAGACUGCUUUAAUCAGGACAUGCGGCUCUCGGAUUAGAGUUGUUUGCACAAUGCUCUGGAGCACACGCAGACCAAGCUUGCAUCUGCCCGCAAGGUACUGUUGCAGGCAUGCCCUGACUGAAUUUACUUUGGGGAAAUAUUUCUCUCUUGUUUUGCUGUCAUUAGCAGUGCUCUAAAGAUGAGAGUGAUCUAAAGCAGAGCGUCAGCUGCUAUUUGUCACCGUGCCAUCUCUCACCCGGUACGGGGCAAGUCGAACCCACUCAGUAAUAACUAAACAUCAGCCCCCUGAGCCCGGAUUUGCUCUAGCAUUCCUGCCCCUAGUAAGGCUCAAAUAGUAGUUAUUACACGAGUAGGAGUUUUUCCAGCACACACAAAACCAGGGGAAGGGAUUAGAAACAGCCACAAACAAGGCGUAGAUAAAUACACGUACCGCUAAAAGCCAAUCAGUUAUUUGACCUCAGGUUCAUAUUUCUGCAAACAUGUAUCUUGGCAACGUAUCAUUCAGUUUCUCAAUACGAUGUAAUGCAAGCCCUUCCUCAUUUAUCUCAGCUGUCUUGUUGUGUUAUGUUACAAAUGAUUACAGUUAAUUCUGUGUUUAA